AGGAGCGGCUGAGGGAGCUAGGGGUGUUUAGCGUGGAGAAAACGAGGCUCAUGGGAGACCUUAUCGCUCUCUAUAACUCCCUGAAAGGAAGAUGUAGAGAGGGGCCUGGGCAACCAGUGUUCUCCCAGGCAACCAGUGAGAGGACGAGUGGAAAUAGCCUUAUGCUGCACCACGGGAGGUUUAGCUUAGACAUUAGGAAGAAUUUCUUCACAGAAUUCCUUCUUAGACAUUGCAAUGGGCUGCCCAGGGAGGUGGUGGAGUCACUGUCUCUGGAGGUGUUUAAGAAUAAAGACUGGACGUGGUCUUUAAGAAAAGACAGUGCUAUGGUCUAGUUGACACGGUGGUGGUUCGGUCAAAGGUUGGACUCGAUGAUCUCAGAGGUCUUUGCCAACCUAAUUGGUUCUGUGAUAAUUCCCCCAAGCUCCUGUGAAAGCAGUGCUCAUGUACUGCAGGCUGACAUCUGGACAUGGAGGCUUUCCCACAAAUGUACAGUGUUAGCAGGAAUGCCUGACUUCCUGGAAAAAUAGAAGGAAACUUCUAAACAGGUCUGCCUGGCCAACAGAGAGGGAGGUGGUGCCUCAAGUAAAGCUGUACGGGAAGCUGGAACCUCGGUCUGACUGCUGCCAGCAUUAGUCCUCUUCAUUCUAAAGGAGCACAUAUGAAUUGGUGAGAAGAAAUAUGAGGUCUCCAAGCAAAUGAAAGAACAGAUAAUUCUGAAACAAAAGAAAUUGCAAUUUGCAUAUGACCUUACAUAAUAUCUAAAGUGUUUCAUAUUUAUAUUAAAAGUGUUAUCCCAUCUUA